rnacentral:rRNA from 1 species
UACGGAGGGGGCUAGCGUUGUUCGGAAUUACUGGGCGUAAAGCGCACGUAGGCGGCUUUGUAAGUUAGAGGUGAAAGCCCGGGGCUCAACUCCGGAAUUGCCUUUAAGACUGCAUCGCUCGAAUUGUGGAGAGGUAAGUGGAAUUCCGAGUGUAGAGGUGAAAUUCGUAGAUAUUCGGAGGAACACCAGUGGCGAAGGCGGCUCACUGGUCCAUUACUGACGCUGAGGUGCGAAAGCGUGGGGAGCAAACAGG